CCCUGCAACCUCCUCCAUGCCGCGCGCUCCAACCGCCCCCUCCGCACGCCUCCCCGACGGUUCCUCCGCCUCUGCAACCUCCUCCAUGCCGCGCGCUCCAGCCGCCUCCCUCUCUCGCGCCAGCCACAUCCGUCUUGCCGUCCUGGAAGCGCCGGCCCUCCGCACCGCCGGCCCUCCGCCGUCGUCUUGUCCUCCGCCUCUGCGCUCCCCUGCGGCCUCGCACCGCGCGGCUCUUUGCGCCGCCAUCCUCAGGUUCUCUGCGGCGCAGGCGGCGUCCCUACAGCACCAGAGGGCCGCCCCGUCGUUGUCUCCCCUGCCACUAUCUACCGGCACCGUCCACCAUCUGCUGUCAUCCUCCACCAUGAGGGGUGCCCCUAUUCACCGUCGUGAGAGGGUCCCCGUCCGCCUUACCGAUGUAUUCCCCGUCGCGCGGCCACGCCACCAUCCCCUUCGAGGCUUCGACCGGUGUAGGUCAGCAGGUGUAGGGGCCGCCCGCGAAAAGGGGCGGACGAGCCGCUGCAGGUGCCCUCUCUCGCUGCACCACCGUAUGACUCCCACUGCCCCCGCCAGUGCAGAUCAACCAAUCUCAGUCUCCCUGUCAGGUUUGGAGAGAUUCAAUGUGUUUCUGUGGAGCUGGGUGACAUCACGGGAUUCUACAUGAUCGACGAGGAGGGCGUGCUGCAGUCGGUGGACGUCGGCGAGGAAGAGGAGAACGGGGAAACUUUGAUUGGGAGAUGACAACAGUAAUCAUGUGGUGCACCUGAAGGUUCAGUUUGAGGAUAAUAUUCAGGUCUUUGAUGGGAGGAGUUUGAGUAUGAAUUAAGGGCCAAUACUGCACAGGGAGCAGGCCUCACCUAGAGGCUCCCGGUGUGAAGCUAAGAGGGAUAUGUGGGGAACCUUCCUGGGGGUGUCAAUAGGUUUACUCUUGCUAACCUGUUCAACGAACAAUGGGAGAUCCUGGAAGCGAGGUUCAUCUAUGACAGGGAUAGUUCGAGAUCAAGGGGGUUCGGUUUUGUCACAUGUGCCUCUAAUGAAGGGGUUGAGGAUUUGUCACCGAAUCUUGAUGGCGCUUUUUUUUGUGAGCUGUGAAGCUUCUCCCGGUUAGAGUUCUACACAUGGGUUUUGUUUGGUGAUGAAGUGGUACUGUCUUCAAGAAACAAAUGAAGGAUUGCAUCCUAUGACAUUACAGAAUGUCACCUGUUGUGUCGAAGAAGAAAUAAGGCAGAAAGGAGAGCAGCAGAUUGCCACAACAACUGAGCUCAAGAGCUGAAUCUUCUCCUGGAGUUAUUGGAUUGCAACCGGCAAGCACCCAGCAGCUGCACCAUCAAUCCAUUCCUAGUUCAACAAUAUGGGUGAGGAGAGCAAAGUAUUACAGAUAAUUAGCAAAAGAGUAGCUGAUGGUAGCGGAUCUAUUAUCGGAGUUUUCAUUGCCACUUCAGCUAUGAUUGGACUCAGAGGAAUGUCUACGUAUAUGGUUUUCUGGGGCGUGUCCAUAUAUAAUGUGCUAUACCUCAAAUGGAUUAUUGUUUCAUUGGUACUGGCCAUGUGGAAAGAUUGAGCAGAAUAUCUAAAUAUCUUGGCUUUGCUGGAUUACCGUUUAACUUACAAGUAGUACAUCAUGUGUACUAUCAUGGAUGUGAUUUAUUACUAUGAAUGUGCUUCUAUAAUCAUGAAUGCUAUUUCAUUUGAACUAGCCAUAUGGAUUUCAAAUUUGUUUUGCUAGUUUUAUAUAUACUAGCAAAAUGAGAAACAUAUUCAAAAGAGGUAUCAACAGGAAUGCCCACUCCUAUUUUCCUAUAUUUCAAUAUUCUUGCUCCUUAUUGAUAGUUGAUUCAUACUGCAUACAUUUCUUAACUAUGGAAAGAAUGCUUAAUCUUUUAGUAUUGGACUUCGGACAUUCACACGGAAGAGGGUAGCGACAGAUGGUUUAACAACAGCUCUGUUAUUGCCAUCUGCCCCAGCAUUGCAGAUGUCUCAUUUUGGUAGAGCAAGGAGAUUCUCUCUCUGGUUUUUGGCUUUAUUGUUCCAUACCACAAAUGCUUUACUGUAUGUACUAAAAAUGGAAGAAGAUCGCUGGUGCUUGUUAAUGAAGGACACCGGUUUGGGGAUCACUCUGAUAUUUUGCAUUGGGCUAGUAAUACUACUACAUCAAAGUUUUGCAGUCACAAAGGAUGUUUGGAUUUGUUGUGCCAUUUUCGGUUCCCUUUAUGUGGUAACUGCAGCAGUAACGCUAUUCAAGAUUCCCACCUGGUCUGAUAUUGUGCUGGGACUGAUUCAUACUGUUAUCACUGUCUUUAUGAGCAUUUUACGCUUCAGCUGCCAGGCAGGCUUUCUAAGGUUCGAGAAAUUCCCCUUUAUAGUUGCUAUUCUGGGAUUUAUUGGUGGUUGUCUACCAUUCAUUCCACUGCCCGAGAAAUUAUCUGAAAUUUCUGCAUAUAUGGUUGCUGCUUUCAUUGGUGAACUAUUCAGAUUGCUCGAUGUAAUAUUCAUAAUGGGUUUAACACGACGGGAUAGGAUCAACCGUUUCUUGGUUAGAUUACAAGAGUUUCUUAUUUGAGAUUUCUCCAUUAUGUUGUUUGGUGCUAACGGUCUGAGAGAUGACGAGUGAAGAGCUUGCAUUUGGAUUUGAAUGGUGGUUUACAGGUGGCUCUGAGUCACCCAGGAAGGACUGUUUUGCAAAGAGUUUCUUUGGUCCCGACGGUCUGAAAGGCAGCGAGGAAAGAACGCUAUAUGUUGUGCUUGCUUCACUACUGCCAGCAGCACUGGUCUGUGCCCACACUGCAGUAUUCCAACACCUACUUGCCUUCAGUCUUGAGCUGCAGACGUCCUGCUUCCGAGCUUCUCCGUUAAUAGAGAAUUGGGAGGAUAAACAACCCGAGUCAUUUGGUUCCCUACACAGAAUUAAUUUUCGUGCACCACAGCUGAUUUGUUUGAGGCUGCCGGUUAAUAUGUGCAUGAGUGCAUCCGCAUGGGCAUGCCCUGUCACUGUCAGCAGCAGGCGUACAUGCGCUCUCUUAUAGCUUUGCCGCAUUUUUUCUGAAUGUCUCAAGUAUCGCAACCAUACUGACCGGUGGAGGCGUAACCGUGUAAGGGACAACGCGGGGUUGCGGCUAUGCCUUAAGCCGCUGGCUGUGGCAACGGACCGUUUGGCAUUAGCUGAAUCUUGGACAGGUUCAUAUCAUUAUAUAAAGGUGAUGCUUGGAUUCGAGUGCUCAUAGAUACAAGGGCUAAACUUUAGCACUGAUUUAUUCAAAUAGGAGUGCUAAUCUCUCUAAUACGAAUCCUAAACCAAGCUCUUGCAUUUCA